CGGGAAGUAGCUCAGUUUGGUAGAGCACCUGGUUUGGGACCAGGGGGUCGCAGGUUCGAAUCCUGUCUUCCCGA
rfam:Lactobacillus salivarius TCC118, complete genome.